rnacentral:rRNA from 1 species
ACUGGCGGCGGCCUACACAUGCNAGUCGAGCGGUUGAAGGGAGCUUGCUUCCUGAUUCAGCGGCGGACGGGUGAGUAAUGCCUAGGAAUCUGCCUGGUAGUGGGGGACAACGUUUCGAAAGGAACGCUAAUACCGCAUACGUCCUACGGGAGAAAGCAGGGGACCUUCGGGCCUUGCGCUAUCAGAUGAGCCUAGGUCGGAUUAGCUAGUUGGUGAGGUAAUGGCUCACCAAGGCGACGAUCCGUAACUGGUCUGAGAGGAUGAUCAGUCACACUGGAACUGAGACACGGUCCAGACUCCUACGGGAGGCAGCAGUGGGGAAUAUUGGACAAUGGGCGAAAGCCUGAUCCAGCCAUGCCGCGUGUGUGAAGAAGGUCUUCGGAUUGUAAAGCACUUUAAGUUGGGAGGAAGGGCAGUCAGCGAAUACCUUGCUGUCUUGACGUUACCGACAGAAUAAGCACCGGCUAACUCUGUGCCAGCAGCCGCGGUAAU